AUUGGAAUUGUUGAGUUUUAUGGUAAAGACAUGUUUAACUUUAUAAGAAACUGCCAAGCUGUUUCCCAGAGUGGUUGUAUCUUUUACAUUCUCACUAACAAU
rnacentral:pre_miRNA from 1 species